rnacentral:snRNA from 1 species
AAUUGUUACAGCUCUUUUAGAAUUUAUCUAGCAGGUUUUCUGUUUUUUGUUUGUUUGUUUGUUUUUUGGUUUUUUUUAACUGGAAAACCCCC